AAGACAAAUCAAGCAACUUCCGCGCUCCUUCGUUCACAUGGCCUUUGUCAAAGAAGACAAAAGGCAAGAAGUGAGCAUACGUAAUGCAAGGUGGGCAAGGUAUGACUUGCGAAAUGAGUAUCUUUUAAGUGAUAUCUGUUCUAGCGGACUGAUUUUGGUCUGUUUUUGAGUAACAAAAAGACAUGAUUAAAAAAUGAACUAGGCUUUGUGUUACGCAUAAUAAAUUUUUAUCAAAGUAUUUCCUAUAACAUACUUAAAUUUCAGAAUUUUUGGGGUUCAUUUACUAUAUUUUUAGAAUGGAUUUUGGCUACUAUGCAAGACUGCGCAGAUUUACCCAAUUACAAAGAUACACUAUCUUCUAUGUGAAAACGUUCAAAACUUGAUUUGAUGUCUUCUGGAGAUAAAACAUACACACUUUGAGCUUUCCAAUGAGGUGUGAACAGUCUUGAUAUGAGGUCAAAUGAUGAGGCAAAUAGGAUCACCUAUGUGAUGCCAGAUUCUGAAAAUAUUGGUCAUAAAUGCCUAGUGUGUGAUAGUUAGAUGUUAAAUUGUUUUUUUGGCAUAUGUUAUUCAUUGUUCCUGUGAGAUAUGAUGAAUCGCAUGGUGUGAAAUGAUUUUGUUGUGCAUGUAUAAAAGAAAGUGCAUGAGUUGUUUGAUAUGAAGCUACCAUAAGAAAUGUCCAUCGGUCUUUGCGCCAAUGAUGCCCCGGAGGAGUUGGGAUGCCCUUGUGCUGUGUGUCUGGGAUGCCUCGAAGUGAGCUGCCUAUGACUAGUGAAUCACAGAAGUCCGAUCAAUAAACCGGAAGUGACCCACACAGCCCAGACAGUAUACUGGUUGAAGAGUGAGAUGGGUUGUGGAUUAAAUGACAUGAAGAACAUUAAAAUGAACUUGUGAAAUGUAUGUGCACUUGACAUUGCAUAUACAUAUAUUCAUUGAAUGCUGCGCUCAUGUUAUAUAUUGUGCUUGACUUUUCAUGACUACCUUGCAUGUUAGGCCGUUCUAGAAUCAAAUAAUAGGUGGAUCAGGUAGUCUAUAAGUUAGAACUUUCAUUGCUGAGCUUUGCUCCCUUGUUGUUGAAAUUUUUUUUUCUCAGAUAGCUAGUCAUGGCUGCUUUGCCUGCUAUGUCUAUUGCUCGAUAUGGAGUAUCUAUAAAUUUUGAGAGCUUGUUUGAUGAUUUCAAUGAUACCGCUUUCCCUAAUAUCAUUUUUACGAAGUGUAUGUUAGUUUUGUGGGUUGAUGUAGGGCAAGUUUCGGAGAGUAUUGCCUAUCGUUUUGUGGCAGUAUUCGUGAGGCUUGACGAGCGUCUUUUGGGCUCGAUACCGUACCCACCUGACAGUAGCAGUGACGACAACAGUGGCAGUGCGUAGGGGAGAGUAGUGAUAGGAUGAGUAGCUGUACAGUCGGUCCAUUUUGUCCAUUUUUGGUGGUAUGGUCAUUUCUUUUCGGGGACGACCGUGAGAAGGGCUUUUGGCUAACUACACUAGAAAUAUGAGUGGAUGGCACCUUUUGGCCUCUUAUGUGUAGUUGAUGUAUAAAUGGCUUGUACUUACCCUCCCAGGAGAUAUAAAGGAAUGAUGUUAAUAUACUUCUUAAUCGGGAUCCUUUGUAAAUUACAAAAUUAUGUCUAAUUGCAUAAUUCGUGUCA